UUUCAUUGAUGGCUUGUUUCUCAAAACAUGCAGUUGCCGCCUUAGAGCUUUUGCCCUGCCAGGCUUGAGAGCUAAUGCUGUAAUUCCUUCCUUGGAUGUUGGAG
rfam:Triticum urartu cultivar G1812 contig421202, whole genome shotgun sequence.